AGCAGCAGCAGCGCCAGACUCCGGUGGCUUCUGAGGGAGGGAAGGAGGUGUCCUCAGAGGUGUUGUUUGGACAAUCCUCUCUCAGCACCAUCAGGGAUGCAGAAGGAUCAAGCCCUGAGCCGUUUUUCCACCUGACAGUGAGAUUGCACUCCCUCCCCACUCAUCAACCCCAAAUAUUUCUCCAUCACAUCUGAGUCAGAGGCCACUGAGCACAACCCUGAACAGAUGUUUGAAGCACAGAAGAGCCGUGAUGUGGUGAGGGACAGACUGUGUGCACACAAAAAGGAUGUGGGGUGAACUCCCGAUGCUGAGAGCUGGCUGAUCACUCUCCAGCACGACUCCUGUGCUCAGCUGGUGCUCUCCAUCUCCAUCCAAACUCCACUGGUUGUCCCACAGAAAGAUAAGGAUGGGUUUUGGUCCUGUUUUUGCAUCUCUUUCUGUUUGUACAUCCUCUCCCAGGGAAUUUCGCUCGUCUGGCUUUGUUCUGCUCUAUGGUUGGGUUUGUCCAUCUCUGAGGUCAUCCUGGGAGAGCAUCGCUCAACCAGGGCUGCACAGACACUCUGGGGAAGAAAAAGGUCACAGAGGAAAUAUUAUCUACAGUUUUUGUGUUGAAAGGAAAGGGCUUUGCUCCCUCUCGAAGGUAAAUCCUGAGUUGCAGGGUGAGGAGGAGAAGGGAAUUUGCACAUCAAGGUCUUCCCAUCAGUGAAGGCUCCUCCAGCCCCGUGGGCAGGCUGUCACAGCCUGUUUGCCUUCUCCAACACAUCAAAAGACAUUUUAAAACCAUUCCUCCUGCACAAAUAAAUACAAACCCAAACCAC